rnacentral:rRNA from 1 species
UACAGAGGGUGCAAGCGUUAAUCGGAAUUACUGGGCGUAAAGCGCACGUAGGUGGCUGGGUAAGUUGGAUGUGAAAUCCCCGGGCUUAACUUGGGAAUUGCAUUCAAGACUGCCUUGCUAGAGUGUGGAAGAGGGAAGCGGAAUUCCAGGUGUAGCGGUGAAAUGCGUAGAUAUCUGGAGGAACAUCAGUGGCGAAGGCGGCUUCCUGGUCCAACACUGACACUGAGGCGCGAAAGCCAGGGGAGCAAACGGG